rnacentral:rRNA from 1 species
GAUGAACGCUGGCGGCAGGCUUAACACAUGCAAGUCGAGCGGGGAAGGGUAGCUUGCUACCUGACCUAGCGGCGGACGGGUGAGUAAUGCUUAGGAAUCUGCCUAUUAGUGGGGGACAACAUUCCGAAAGGAAUGCUAAUACCGCAUACGCCCUACGGGGGAAAGCAGGGGAUCUUCGGACCUUGCGCUAAUAGAUGAGCCUAAGUCAGAUUAGCUAGUUGGUGGGGUAAAGGCCUACCAAGGCGACGAUCUGUAGCGGGUCUGAGAGGAUGAUCCGCCACACUGGGACUGAGACACGGCCCAGACUCCUACAGGAGGCAGCAGUGGGGAAUAUUGGACAAUGGGCGAAAGCCUGAUCCAGCCAUGCCGCGUGUGUGAAGAAGGCCUUUUGGUUGUAAAGCACUUUAAGCGAAGAGGAGGCUACUUGGAUUAAUACUCUAGGAUAGUGGACGUUACUCGCAGAAUAAGCACCGGCUAACUCUGUGCCAGCCGCCGCAGUAAUAC